ensembl:misc_RNA 7SK 7SK RNA
AGAUGUCAGGGCCACCUGGCUGUGACCUCUGUCACCCCAUUGGUCACCAGGAUUGAUUUGGCUGACCUGGCUGUCUGGCAGGUGUCCCCUUCCUCCCUCACUGCUGCACGCGUGUGCCUCCCAGAGCCGUGCGCACAGUUAAAGAGGAUGACCCCCUCUUUGGUCAAGGGUGUAUGAGUAGCUCUGUGCUCCCCUCUAGCUGUGCUAGAACCUCCACACAAGCACUCAGAGUCCAUUUGUAGGAGAAUCCCAUGGACAGAGGAGCCUGAAGGGCUGCAGUCCAUGGGGUCUCUUGCAAAGAGUCAGACAUGACUG